rnacentral:rRNA from 1 species
CCUUGACAUACUAAGAACUUUCCAGAGAUGGAUUGGUGCCUUCGGGAACUUAGAUACAGGUGCUGCAUGGCUGUCGUCAGCUCGUGUCGUGAGAUGUUGGUUAAGUCCCGNAACGAGCGCAACCCUUUUCCUAUUUGCCAGCGGGUCAUGCCGGGAACUUUAAGGAUACUGCCAGUGACAAACUGGAGGAAGGCGGGGACGACGUCAAGUCAUCAUGGCCCUUACGGCCAGGGCUACACACGUGCUACAAUGGUCGGUACAAAGGGUUGCUACCUCGCGAGAGGAUGCUAAUCUCAAAAAGCCGAUCGUAGUCCGGAUCGCAGUCUGCAACUCGACUGCGUGAAGUCGGAAUCGCUGGUAAUCGCGGAUCAGAAUGCCGCGGUGAAUACGUUCCCGGGCCUUGUACACACCGCCCGUCACACCAUGGGAGUUUGUUGCACCAGAAGUAGGUAGUCUAACCGCAAGGAGGACGCUUACCACGGUGUGGCCGAUGACUGGGGUGAAGUCGUAACAAGGUAGGCGUAGAUGA